GCGGACGGCUGAGUAACGCGUGGGAACGUGCCCCAAAGUGAGGGAUAACGCACCGAAAGGUGUGCUAAUACCGCAUAUGGUCUUCGGAUUAAAGAAUUUAUUCGCUUUGGGAGCGGCCCGCGUCGGAUUAGGUUGUUGGUGAGGUAAUGGCUCACCAAGCCGACAAAUCCGUAGCUGGUCUGAGAGGAUGACCAGCCAAACUGGAACUGAUACACGGUCCAUACUCCUACGGGAGGCAGCACUGAGGAAUCUUCCACAAUGGGGGCAACCCUGAUGGAGCAACGCCCCGUGCAAGAUGAAGGCCUUCGGGUUGUAAACUGCUUUUAUUUGUGAAGAAUAUGACGGUAACAAAUGAAUAAGGGUCGGCUAACUACGUGCCAGC
rnacentral:rRNA from 1 species